rnacentral:tRNA from 1 species
GCGCCUGUGGCUCAACUGGAUAGAGCACUAGCCUACGGAGCUAGUUGUUGCUGGUUCGAAUCCAGCCAGGCGCACCA